AGACACAGAAAACAAACAGUCAGAGUCUGAGACAAUCUGGGAGUAGUGAGUAGUAGCAGAGUUCAUCAUGGAUAAAAGAAUACUUUGCUGGAUAUGUCUGCUGGCAUAUUUUCAGACAUCUUUGGCACAAAAUGAUAUGGUUCUGUUGGCUUCAUCGGGUGAAGGCCUCCAGCUCGCACUGGAACGGUUCGCAGCCGAGUGUGAAGCAGCGGGAAUGAGGAUCAGCACCUCCAAAUCUGAGGCCAUGGUUCUCAGCCGGAAAAGGGUGGAGUGCCCACUCUGGGUCGGGGAUGAGUUCCUGCCCCAAGUGGAGGAGUUCAAGUAUCUCGGGGUCUUGUUCGCGAGUGAUGGGAGAAGGGAGCCGGAGAUCGACAGACGGAUUGGGGC
ensembl:lncRNA